AACUCCACGAUCUUACAAGGAACCUAUGUCUCUGCCUCCUUUGGCUAAGGGAUGCUGGGGCCUUUGGAUUCCCCAAAGUCCUGAAAUGAGCAGACCUUUUCUGCCAUGAACUCAUUCGAUGACGUUGGAGGCAACCACAGGCCCAGAGCAACAGUGCCACGUGACCAUGUGAACUCUCUGGAACUCUGAGCCCGUUUCUCUGACUUCUCCGCCGCACUUACUUUAUCACAGCAACGGAAAACAGACUAAGGACUUUACCUCUGAAGUUUUCAACAGCUCAAAAAAUGUUAAGGUUUCCCAGAAAAGAGAUAUAUGUGUCGAUGUACAACAAGGGACCAAGGAAAUUGUACAAACUUGUUAAUUUAUUACAAAAUGUUCACUCACAGAAAAACACAAGGAAACCUUUAUACUUUCAUAUGUGGGAAUGGAACUGGUAUCUCAGAUACAAAAUAAUUUACACAUAAUCCGUACAAUUUUAUUUUUUUAUAGAAAUAGGUCAUUAUUACAACAGCUGUACAAUUCACUACACUUCCUCUUAUAAUUAUAUAAAAUCUUCUCUUUAGAAAUACCUCGACAUAACAAAACAUACAAAAAAAAAAAAAAAAAAA